CCGCGUGAGGGAUGACGGCCUUCGGGUUGUAAACCUCUUUCAGUAGGGAAGAAGCGAGAGUGACGGUACCUGCAGAAGAAGCGCCGGCUAACUACGUGCCAGCAGCCGCGGUAAUACGUGAGGCGCAAGCGUUAUCCGGAUUUAUUGGGCGUAAAGAGCUCGUAGGCGGUUUGUCGCGUCUGCCGUGAAAGUCCGAGGCUCAACCUCGGAUCUGCGGUGGGUACGGGCAGACUAGAGUGAUGUAGGGGAGACUGGAAUUCCUGGUGUAGCGGUGAAAUGCGCAGAUAUCAAGAGGAACACCGAUGGCGAAGGCAGGUCUCUGGGCAUUUACUGACGCUGAGGAGCGAAAGCAUGGGGAGCGAACAGGAUUAGAUACCCUGGUAGUCCAUGCCGUAAACGUUGGGCACUAGGUGUGGGGGACAUUCCACGUUUUCCGCGCCGUAGCUAACGCAUUAAGUGCCCCGCCUGGGGAGUACGGCCG
rnacentral:rRNA from 1 species